GCCAGCAUGGCGUAGUGGUUUGAAUGUUGGACUAGGACUCUGGAGGCCAGGGUUCGAAUUUCAGUUCGGCCA